AACAGUUUAGUCCUCAGCUCUCUAUUCUUUUCCCCAGUACUUUUCUUUUUUUAAUUUAUUUUUAAUUCAUUUUUACACUCCAUAUUCCAUUCCCCACCCCUCAUCCACCCUCUGACUGCUCCACAUCCUACACCUCCUCCUCACCCCACCCCAUCUCCACAUGGAUGCCCCCACCCCACCUAACCUCUAAACUUCCUGGAGCAUCCAGUCUCUUGAGGGUUAGGUGCAUCAUCUCUGAAUGAACACAGACCAGGAAGUCCCCUGCUAUAUAUGUGCUGGGGGCCUCAUAUCACCUGUUGUAUGCUGUCUGUUUGGUGGUCCAGGUUGAGAGAUCUCCGGAGUCUAGAAUAAUUGAGACUGCUGGUCCUCCUAUAGGAUCGCCCUUCUCCUCAGCUUCUUUCAGCCUUCCCUAAUUCAACAGCUGCUUCUGUUUGUUGGUUGGAUGCAAAUAUCUGCAUCUGACUCUUUCAGCUUCUUGUUGGAUCUUUUGGAGUGCAGUCAUGUUAGUUCCCUUUAUGUGAGCACUACAUAACCUCAGCAAUAGUGUCAGGCCUUGGGACCUCCCCUUGAACUGAAUCCCACUUUGGGCCUGUCACUGGCCCUUCUUUUUCUCUGGCUCCUCUCCAUUUCCAUCCCUGUAAUUCUUUCAGACAGGAACAAUUAUGGGUCAGAGAUGUGACUGUGCGAUGGCAACACUAUCCCUCACUUGAUGCCCUGUCUUCCUGUUGGAGGUGGACUCUCUAUAAGUUCCCUCUCCCUACUGUUGGGUUUUUCAUCUAAGGUCCUUCCCUUUGAGUUCUGAGAAUCUCUCACCUCCCGGGUCUCUGGUGCAUUCUGGGGGUGGGGGGGUCCCCCAACCUCCUAUUUCCUGGGGUUGCCUGUUUACAUUCUUUUUGCAGGCCUUCAGGGCUUCAGUCCUUUCCCUCACCCAAUACCAGAUCAGGUUUCCCACUCCCCCACCCCUGUCCACUUUCCCUCUUAAGUCCCUCCCUCUACACUUGUGUUGCUUUCUUCUCUCUCUCAAGUGGAACUGAGGUGUCCUCACUUGGGCACUUCAGCUUGUUGAGCUUUUUGAUUUCUGUGGACUGUAUCUUGGGUAUUCUGUACUUUUUUUUUUUUUUUUUGCUAAUAUCUACUUAUUAGUGAGUACAUACCAUGUUGAAGAGGAUAUGGAGAAAGAGGAACACUCCUCCUUUGCUGGUGGGAUUACAAACUGGUACAACCACUCUGGAAAUCAAUCUGGAGGUUCCUCAGAAAAUUGGAAUAGAUCUACCUGAAGACCCAGCUAUACCACACUCUUGGGAAUACACCCAAAAGAUGCCCCACCAUGCCACAGGGACACAUGUUCCACUAUUUUCAUAGCAGCCUUAUUUAUGAUAGCCAGAAGCUGGAAACAACCUAGAUGUCCCAUGACAGAAGAAUGGAUACAGAAAAUGUGUUUUAUUUACACAAUGGACUACUACUCGGCUAUUAAGAAUGAGGACAUCCUGAAUUUUUCAGGCAAAUGGAUGGAUCCAGAAUAUAUCAUCCUGAGUGAGGUAACUCAGACCCCAAAGGACAUGCAUGGUAUGUACUCCCCAGUACUUUUCAUAAUAAACAUUUUAGUUUUAUCUAUUGACUUCACCCAAUAAGUCCCAACUCACUCUUCAUUCUUGAUCAUAUUAGACAUCACUCUUAACUUUCAUCAUUUUCAUGAUAUUCAUCAUUAUCUAAAUGUUACAAGGAACUUUGGAUUCCCUCCAUGCUCACUACAUGUUACCUGAAAAACUGAAGUUCACUUUUGUGGUCUUAGUCUUGCUAAUAAAAGAAUUUGAAAGUGCACUUCAAAAGAAGACUGAGUAGAUUCUAUUAGUGUUUGGUACUAAAGCCACAGAACAGGCAAUCUGUAACUUCUCAAUGGGUGGAAUAGCUCCAGAGUCUGUUCUUUCCUGCCACCAUGUGUUAUGGAUAUCAAAAUUGUUUCAUGAGGCUUGUAACAGCAAUUUUAUUCACUGGCCGUUGUCUAUAAUUUUCUUUCUUCCUCUGUCUUUGUCUGGUUUUGGUAUAUCGGCAACACUAACUUUAUAAAAACAUAUUACUAGACCAUCCAUUUCCUUUCUAUAUAUAAAAUAGUUUGUAAUGAAUUUGUGUUAGUUCUUUGGAUGUCUAAUAGAACUGAGCAUCAAAGCCUGUACAUUUCUUUAAAAUAUGGAGAUGUUCUAUUGCUGAUUCAAUAUUCUUGCUUGUCAUAGAUAAGUUCAAACUAUUUAUAUUGUCUUAGCUUAAUAAAGCUAAAAGUUCAUGCAUUUCUUUCACUUGUUUAAUUUAGUGAAAUAUAUGUUUAAAUUGAUAUUUACUGUAAUGUCUCCCUUCCCAUGUCUAAUUUUAUUAAUGUGGAUCAUCUCUCUCUUUUUCUUAUCCUAACUAAGGUUUGUUUCCCUUGUUUAUUUUUUUUCAAAAACCCAAAUUUUUCUUUCAUUGGUAAUUUGAUUGUUUCAUUUUAUUUCAAUAAAUUCUGUCUAGCCUGAUUUCAAAAUACUGUUUUGGGGUUUGGCUUGUUCUUAGUUUUGUUUUAUUUUGUUUGUUUGUUUGUUUGUUUGUUUUUAAGAUGCAUUCUUACCUUCUGUAUUUGAAGUCCAGUUGAUGUUUUAAUGUAGGAACUAUAACUAUAAAUUCCCUAUUGAGACUCUUUUCAUUUUAUCACAUAUAUUUUAGUAUGUUCAAAAAAAUUAAUAAGUAAAUAGGUGUCAGACACAGUCAUUCACUCCUUUAAUCUCAACACUCAAAGACAGAGGCAGGUUGAUCUCUAUGAUUUCAAGCCAUCAUAAUCUACAUUAUACAAACAAAUGAAUACAUUUCGAUAUGUUAUAUUUUCCUCUUUAUUUGUGCCUAACAAUUGUUUUUAUUUACUUCUUGAUUUUUUUCAAUACCUUAUUUAUUAGUUAAUAAUGUAUUGUUUGUGUUCCACCAAAGUGUAUAUGAUCUUCAGUAACUCUUACAAUUAGCCUAAAUUUUUUUUCAUUAUAAUUUAUAACUUACAAGAAUUUCCUUUCAUUCUCUUUUAGUUCUACAGGUUUGCUUUUAUCCUAUUGUAUCGUCUACCUUAGAGAAAUUUUCAUGUAUUUCUAAAUAAUAUGUACUCUGAUUUAUUUUGAUAGAAUGUUCUGUAACUAUUAGGUCCAUUGUAUCUAUGAAAGCAUUAUCUCACAUGUUUUUGUUUGUUUGUUUGUUUGUUUACUUCUUGUCAGAAUCAUAGGUAUACAGAUGAGUAUAGUGUGAAAGUCACUCUUUUAUGUUGAGGUUAAUAUAUAUCUUUACAUCUAACAGUAUUUGUUUUAUAAAAAUAAGUGCACCCAUGUUAAAUACACUUGUGAUUAAAAUUAUAAGGACCUGGUGAUGAAUUGUUCCCGUAAUAAGUUUGAUGUAAAGCUCUUUACCUCUUCAAAGUUUGCUUUGAAAUCUGUUUUUUUUUUCCCCCUGACGUUGGAAUGGUGACAGUGUUGACAGAAAGUUGCUUGUUUCUUCUCUCCAUUUGCUUGAUAAACCCUUUCUAUCCUUUUACUGUUAGGCUGUGUCUGUCUAUUCUGAACAGGUGCAUUUCUUAGAAACAACAUACAGAUAGAACCUGCUUUGAGGUGGUCUGUUUUUCACUUAGUCUGCUAGCCAAUGUCUUUUGAUUUGGGGAACUGAAUCCAUUCAUAAAGUCAUUGCUGAAACUUACAUACUAAUUUCAGUCAAAUUGUUGAUUUUUUUUUUUUUGGUCUUUCUUUUCCUAUACUUUUACUUAACUACAAUUUCUGCAUUGUAUGUUUUUUUCCCUUGUAACUUCAUGCAUGUGCAUCUUUUCAUUCAGUCUGAAAGAUACCUUCAAGUGUCUUUUGUAAAGUGGCAUGGUGGACAUGUAUUCUUUUAGAUUGUCUUAGAACAAAAAGUUUUCCUUUUCAGUUAUGACCAAUAGUUUUGCUUGGUACAGUAGUCUACUUUACUUGUUGUUGAAGAGUUUGAAAUAAAUCAUCCCAUGCCAUCUGAGCUUUAAAUUUUGAUAGAAAGAUGUCCUGUUAUUAUGAUGGGCUUGCCUGUAUAUGUGAUUUGGUGUUUCAGUAUAUUUCCUUGUUCUAUAUAUUUAGAAUUUUGAUUAUAAUAUUAUGAUGGGAUGUUCCUUUCUAUCUUUAUGUGUUUGGUCUUCUAAAUGCUUCAAGAAAUAUGUGUUUCUAGGAGAAAAUUUUUUUGGUUUUCUGUUUUGGUUUUAUUGAAAAUCAUUUCUAACCUUUUAGCAUAAAAAUCUUUCUCUUCUGUACUCAUGAUUUUUAGAGUUGAUUUUUUUCAUAAUGGCCCAUUGAACUUGGAUAUUCUGUUCCCUGAGUAUUCUGUUCAUCUUUCCUUGAUUUUCAUCUUUAUUAGUGUCUGGUUGCUCAAAUUCCUUUACCUUGUAUUCAAGUCCUAACACUAUUGUCUCCUUGAUCCAUUGUGUUUGUUAGUCUUUCCACAAAGCUUUUUAUUUGAUUCAGUAAAUUUCUCAGUUCUUGUGUUUCAUAUUUUUUAUUUUAGCUAUUUAUUGAACUUAACUUUUAUAUUCUGUAUUAAUUUUCUUUUUUUUCCAUUUUUUAUUAGGUAUUUAGCUCAUUUAUAUUUCCAAUGCUAUACCAAAAGUCCCCCAUAUUUGCAUUCUCUUAGAAUUCAUUCAGGUUUAUUUUUGUUUUGGUUUGUUUCUAUGAGCAUAUUCAAUUAUUCUUUUGAAUUUACUACCUGGACUUCAUCUAACUCACUGUCACUGGAGGCCAUUAAAAUAGGAUCUUUGGUAGAGUCAUGUUCCUUUAAAUUUUUAUGAUCCUUGUGCUUUUGCAUUGGGAAUUGCUCACUGGUGUUGGGUCAUUGGGUUGGAUUUUAAAAAUAAUUAUUUUUCUCUCAAUGAAAUUGUUUACAGCUUUCAAGAGUGACUAGGUUGAAAAAGUGUUACAAUGUCACUUUUCUCUGCUAGACUGGUUUGAGGAACUAGAUUCAAUUUCCAGUAUUCUUUUGAGAGUAGAAUGCUACGUAAAAAAGAAAUCAUUAUGGAAAAAAAAGCUUUCUACCCCCUCACACUAAUUACCACUUAAACAUCAACCAUUUUAGGAAAUGAAGGAAGACUGGUAAUUUAAAAUUAAAUAUAUUACAUACUACAGAUGGAAAGAAUAAAAAACCAAGUAAGACUGGUGGUUAGUAUUAUAUAGCUAGAAAAAGAGAAAAGAAAGGACCAGCCAGUAAAAGGGGGUGCAGAAUGCAGUGGUGGUGAGAUGUAGUUUGGCAAAAGGU
rnacentral:lncRNA from 1 species